AUUGAACGCUGGCGGCAGGCUUAACACAUGCAAGUCGAGCGGGGUGAUGGUGCUUGCACUAUCACUUAGCGGCGGACGGGUGAGUAAUGCUUAGGAAUCUGCCUAUUAGUGGGGGACAACAUCUCGAAAGGGAUGCUAAUACCGCAUACGUCCUACGGGAGAAAGCAGGGGAUCACUUGUGACCUUGCGCUAAUAGAUGAGCCUAAGUCGGAUUAGCUAGUUGGUGGGGUAAAGGCCUACCAAGGCGACGAUCUGUAGCUGGUCUGAGAGGAUGAUCCAGACGAGCGGGACUGAGACACGGCCCAGACUCCUACGGGAGGCAGCAGUGGGGAAUAUUGGACAAUGGUGGUAACCCUGAUCCAGCCAUGCCGCGUGUGUGAAGAAGGCCUUAUGGUUGUAAAGCACUUUAAGCGAGGAGGAGGCUCUGUUGGUUAAUACCCAAGAUGAGUGGACGUUACUCGCAGAAUAAGCACCGGCUAACUCUGUGCCAGCCGCCGCGGUAA
rnacentral:rRNA from 1 species